GCAUUUUCUUGUUGACAGUAUUCUUGUUGACUGGUUUGGUGUUGACUGUUUAUGGUUGACUGUUUUCUUAUUGACUGUUUUCUUAUUGACUGUUUUCCUGUUGACUGUUUUCUUGCUGACUGAUUAUGGUUGACUGUUUUCUUGUUGACUCAUUAUGGUUGACUGUUUUCUUGUUGACUCAUUAUGGUUGACUGUUUUCUUGUUGACUGUUUUCUUGUUGACUGUUUAUGGUUGACUGUUUUCUUGUUGACUGUUUAUGGUUGACUGUUUUGGUGUUGACUGUUUUGAUGCUGACUGUUUUCUUGCUGGCUGUUUUCUUGUUGACUGUUUUCUUGUUGACUGUUUUCUUGCUGGCUGUUUUCUUGUUGACUGUUUUCUUGUUGACUGUUUUCUUGUUGACUGUUUUCUUGCUGACUGAUUAUGGUUGACUGUUUUCUUGUUGACUGUUUUCUUGUUGACUGCUUUGAUGUUGACUGUUUUCUUGUUGACUGUUUAUGGUUGACUGUUUUGGUGUUGACUGUUUUCUUGUUGACUGUUUUCUUGUUGACUGCUUUGAUGUUGACUGUUUUCUUGUUGACUGUUUAUGGUUGACUGUUUUCUUGUUGACUGUUUUCUUGUUGACUGCUUUGAUGUUGACUGUUUUCUUGUUGACUGUUUAUGGUUGACUGUUUUGGUGUUGACUGUUUUCUUGUUGACUGUUUUCUUGUUGACUGCUUUGAUGUUGACUGUUUUCUUGUUGACUGUUUAUGGUUGACUGUUUUCUUGUUGACUGUUUUCUUGUUGACUGUUUUCUUGCUGACUGAUUAUGGUUGACUGUUUUCUUGUUGACUAUUUUCCUGUUGACUGUUUUUGGUUGACUGUUUUCUUGUUGACUCAUUAUGGUUGACUGUUUUCUUGUUGACUGUUUUCUUGCUGACUGAUUAUGGUUGACUGUUUUCUUGUUGACUAUUUUCCUGUUGACUGUUUUUGGUUGACUGUUUUCUUGUUGACUCAUUAUGGUUGACUGUUUUCUUGUUGACUGUUUUGAUGUUGACUGUUUUCUUGUUAACCGGUUUGGUGUUGACUGUUUUCUUGCUGACUGUUUUCUUGUUGACUGUUUACGUUUGAGUGUUUUCUUGCUUGUGUCGGCAGUCGUGGCCAAAGGAGGAUUCAGACAAUUUUCCGAACUUUCUGGUUGGUUUCUACUGUCCGAUAUUGUAGCACGCUAACUUUGUUUGGGCUCCUGAACGACACGGGGGAGCAGCGUCUGCCUCACAACCAAUCAGGUUAGAGGAGGUGGAGAACGGCUUUGUUUACAGUCAGAAAGAGCGGACCGCUCAAAAAUGUUCAAAUGUUGACGACACAGACAUAAGAGAACACAGAGAUAUCGAUAUAUUACCAAAUAAUCAAUAACUAAUAACUAUUGACUGAUAUUAGAAGAUUUUUUUGUUUAUACGCCACAAAAAAAAGAUUCUUCUUGUGAAAAUUAGCAUUUACUGUAAACACUGAGUGAAGUACAUUUGGGAUUAGUGGUUCAAUGUUAAAUCACCAAUCUUCAAUAAUCAAUAACAGAUAAUCCAGUGAACAGAUUAUAAUCUUGAGGGGAAAAUCUCUGAGUUUUCAAAAGGAUAAAAACUUUGUAAAAAGUGACCAUGCAACAGAAAUGUGAAGAGGCGCUCUAAUGAAAUCAGAGGAUGCAGGAGGAGAAUGAAGAGCUUCAGCUGCGUCUCUUAUCUCCUCUGACUGCUGAUCAUCAGAAAUAAUUAGAUAGGAUUCAACCGCGGCGCUUUAUCCCCUUCAUUUGAUCAAAUCAGCACUUCUGAGGGAAAAGUGACAAGAAAAUGAAGUAAUCAUGGGAGCCGCUCCGCCGGAGCUCUGCUGCUGCAUAAUGUAAGAGGACGGAGAGAGAGAGAGAGAGGGAGAGAGAGAGGGAGGAGGGGGCGCUAACUUAGAGGAGUUCAGAGAGUUCUUCUCCUUUAAAAACAAGUUUCAUUUAUUUAUGUUUUAUUACAGUGAAAGAAAAUCUGUUUUAAUCCACAAAUUUAACCUCAUAUUUGGUCUGUUUCCACGGAGACGUCGUCACUCUGAGGUUAAUUCAAUAAGGUUAUAUAAGGAUGUUUACUAAGGUCUUUAUUAUUAUGAUGAAAUAAAACAGUGUGAGUUUAUUAUAGUAAAUAAUUUUAGAGGAAACGCUCUGAUAGUGAAGAUCAGAGGAGAGGCCGUCACUGAAACGCUCCGAUUUAUUAAUAGGAGGCUGGAUCAGAACCAAAGUGGAGCAGCUGGUCUGGACUCUACUGUGUGUGUGUGUGUGUGUGUGUGUGUGUGUGUGUGUGUGUGUGUGUGUGUGUGUGUGUGUGUGUGUGUGUGUGUGUUCCAAACACUUGAAUGACAGUAUGAAACAAACAUGGACGAGGUUCAGCGGCGUCUUUGUCGGCGCUCCUUUGCGUCCACAUAGAUAUAAUCAAACCAGAUUUCCUCUGAGGUUUCUGUAGAUUCCUCUGUCCUGAAGGUCCUUUCACACCGGGAACGUUUUUAUUGUGCGAUUAUGUCGAACGUCAGUAUCUUUUUUCAAACCCGUAUCCUGUCAACACAAGCGUUCACAUCAGCGACGUUUUCCCGUCCUGCGAUAUUGUGGCGUUUAUUUUUUCAGAUCACGGUUGAUUUUUCCAAAGUUUCGCAGACUGUAUGGUAGGACUAGGCAGUUUGGCCAAAAAGAUGAUCAGGAUAUACUUCGUCAUAUCGUCCGAUCUUGAUUAUUAUCACGAUUUUUUUUUUAACUGCCAGUUUUAAAGCAUCUGUACUUAAAACAAAAAAAUUAAAGAAAUAAAUACUAAAUAAGACGUUAAAUAACUUUCCUUCUCAACUAUAAGAUCUUCAGAGGAUGACUCAGAGUCAUGACUGACAUCUAUUUUACUGACCUCAGCUCCACCUUCGGUUACUCUGUUUAUUUCUCCGGCAACUUAAAGAAGUGAGCAGGAAAAGCUCAACUCUGAUUGGCUGUUGUGACGCACAUUUUCGCCAAGUUUGAUCGAGUAAAAAAAGCUCACAGCUGAUCACCGUGAUCGGACUGAAAUUUAUCAUGAUCAAUAAUCCUGAUCAUAAUCAUAAUCGCCCAGUCCUUCUGUGUGUCGACUUCUGACCAAUCAGAUAACAACCUGAAGGACGACUUGUGGAGAGUCAUAGCGUUAGAUUUCUCAUCUGACGAUGGUUUGUGAGCUUUAACAGUUUGAUAAACGUCUUUGUUUGAACCUUCAUCUGUGCUAACGUAAGCUAACGGUUGUUACCAUGGUUACAUGUGUUUAUCUGGUUCUGGCCCCGACUCAGUACAUGCUAUCAUGACAGACAGACAUCUCAACACUAGAGUCUGGUCCUCUGCCUCUUCAAACUUGGAGAUAAUUGAGCGGAGCAGAGAAACUCACCAAGUUCUCUUCUUUUUUCUAAUAUUGGAUCAACUAUGUGCUGUGUUUGUUUUUCUUAUGACCAAUUCACCAUCACCUGAAGUUGAAGUAGACUCCAUUUUUAACAGUUUUAAAAACACAAAAACAAAAAAAGAUAAAUCUCUGAGAAAGGAGCUGUGCACGUGUGUGUGUGUGUGUGUGUGUGUGUGUGUGAGGGUCUGUGCACGUGUGUUUGACAUGAGUGUGUGUAUGCAGUGCACGUCUGCAGAGGACUAAAAAUACAAAAUAACAUAUGAUGGUGAGGUGAUGCAGAAAUGUGAAAGUGUGUGUGUGUGUGUGAGAGAGAGAGGGGCUGGGCUGAAUCUUACACACACACACACACACACACACACACACACACACACACACUCACACUCACACACACACAUACUGAAUGUGACAGUAUAAUGUAUAGUCUCCCACCCACCCUCUACAUCUUUUCUACCUCCUCCUUCUUGUGUGUGUGUGUGUGUGUGUGUGUGUGUGUGUGUGUGUGCACUCUGCCACUAACCUACUUUCCACACAGCAGCAUGCACAGCGCUCAGGAGAAGAAAAUACCGCAAUACUCUCACACCCCUCCGUCAUCCUCUCGCUUUCUCCCUCAUUCACUCCCCUCUUCCUCCCUCUUCCUCUUCCUUUCUCCUCCCUC
rnacentral:lncRNA from 1 species